rfam:Schistosoma mattheei strain Denwood, Zambia genome assembly, scaffold: SMTD_scaffold0006019
AUCCAACUGACGAGUCCCAAAUAGGACGAAACGCGCAUCCUGGAU